AUUGGACAAUGGAGGCAACUCUGAUCCAGCCAUGCCGCGUGAAGGAAGACGGCCUUAUGGGUUGUAAACUUCUUUUAUACAGGAAGAAACCUUUCCACGUGUGGAAAGCUGACGGUACUGUAAGAAUAAGGAUCGGCUAACUCCGUGCCAGCAGCCGCGGUAAUACGGAGGAUCCAAGCGUUAUCCGGAAUUAUUGGGUUUAAAGGGUCCGCAGGCUGUUUGUUAAGUCAGAGGUGAAAUCCUACCGCUCAACGGUAGAACUGCCUUUGAUACUGGCAAACUUGAGUUAUUGUGAAGUAGUUAGAAUGUGUAGUGUAGCGGUGAAAUGCAUAGAUAUUACACAGAAUACCGAUUGCGAAAGCAGAUUACUAACAAUGUACUGACGCUGAGGGACGAAAGCGUGGGUAGCGAACAGGAUUAGAUACCCUGGUAGUCCACGCCGUAAACGAUGGUCACUAGCUGUUUGAUGUACAUUGGUACAUUGAGUGGCUAAGCGAAAGUGAUAAGUGACCCACCUGGGAAGUACGCUCGCAAGAGUGAAACUCAAAGGAAUUGACGGGGGCCCGCACAAGCGGUGGAGCAUGUGGUUUAAUUCGAUGAUACGCGAGGAACCUUACCAGGACUUAAAUGUAAGUUGCAUGAUUCAGAAAUGGAUCUUUCUUCGGACUACUUACAAGGUGCUGCAUGGUUGUCGUCAGCUCGUGCCGUGAGGUGUCAGGUUAAGUCCUAUAACGAGCGCAACCCCUAUCGUUAGUUGCCAUCAAGUAAAGUUGGGAACUCUAGCGAAACUGCCGGUGCAAACCGUGAGGAAGGUGGGGAUGACGUCAAAUCAUCACGGCCCUUACGUUCUGGGCUACACACGUGCUACAAUGGCCGGUACAGAAAGCAGCCACUAUGCGAAUAGGAGCUAAUCUUCAAAGCCGGUCUCAGUUCGGAUCGCAGUCUGCAACUCGACUGCGUGAAGCUGGAAUCGCUAGUAAUCGGAUAUCAGCCAUGAUCCGGUGAAUACGUUCCCGGGCCUUGUACACACCGCCCGUCAAGCCAUGGAAGCUGGGGGUACCUAAAGUCGGUGACCGAAAGGAGCCGCCUAGGGUAAAACUAGUAACUGGGGCUAAGUCGUAACAAGGUAGCCGUACCGGAAGGUGCGGCUGGAAUACCUCCUUUCU
rnacentral:rRNA from 1 species